rnacentral:rRNA from 1 species
UAACGCGAAGAACCUUACCUGGUCUUGACAUCCACGGAAGUUUUCAGAGAUGAGAAUGUGCCUUCGGGAACCGUGAGACAGGUGCUGCAUGGCUGUCGUCAGCUCGUGUUGUGAAAUGUUGGGUUAAGUCCCGCAACGAGCGCAACCCUUAUCCUUUGUUGCCAGCGGUCCGGCCGGGAACUCAAAGGAGACUGCCAGUGAUAAACUGGAGGAAGGUGGGGAUGACGUCAAGUCAUCAUGGCCCUUACGACCAGGGCUACACACGUGCUACAAUGGCGCAUACAAAGAGAAGCGACCUCGCGAGAGCAAGCGGACCUCAUAAAGUGAGUCGUAGUCCGGAUUGGAGUCUGCAACUUGACUCCAUGAAGUGGGAAGGGUUAGUACACACCGCAUAUCUAAGGUAUUA